GGUUUCUUCCUAAGCUGAGUGAAUCUGGACACUUUCUAACUUGGAACAAAUCACACAGACAAAAUGAAGAUAAAAUGCCCCCAUCCAGGUUGCAGCCUGACACUUCUGCCUCUUUUCCCUCUGGGUAUAUCUUACUGGGUCUUUGCAGGUCAUGGCUGGACUGUUGGAAGUGUCUGUCCACUGCAAGAAAUUUGAAGUAACAAAAUGGCCUCCUUAAUCAGGAAUCAGUUUCCAUCACAUUCUUGGGAGCUAAGCACCCAGGUACAGAUACUACUUUGAUGGGUUUAUUGGAAGAUCUGUGGACAUUGUAAGGAUUCUAAGCAAAGUUUACAGGACAUCAUCAUGCCCACCCCAGCCUCAUCCAAACCCUCUUUCAAGUUAAACUCCUGCUAUUGUGGUUUUAUUAUAAAAGUCUUCUUGGCUUUGGAACAUUAUACAAAUGGCAAUAGAAAGCUCUCUGUUUCAUUCACUUGCUGUUGUGCACGUAAGAGUCAUCCAUGCCAUCCUUGUAAAGCAGGAGUUUGCUCACCCCUGUGGAUACGUACCAUUUAGUUUCAUGAAGACACCACAAUUGAUUUCUUGCUGCCAUCCAAUUUUCCAUAGCCAUUUGUAUUAUUUCCAAUUUGUGGUAGUUAAAAUAGCUGCUUUUGAGGCUUGGCAGACAGCUCAGUGGGUCUUAGAAGCUAGAAGUUACCUAGAUGCCUUUUCCAUAUGUUUUCCUUUGUUCCUUCUUUUCCUUCUUUUCUCCAUCCCUCUCCCUCUCCCCCUCCCUCUCCUUUCUCUUCCCUCCCUCUCCCCCACCCUCUCUCUCACACACACACACAAAAGCCAUUUAUGCCAUUAUGAGUUGAAAAACAAUUUGCUGUCUAAAUUAAAAUCAUUUUGAGAUAUGGUUUUCCUUUUCCAUUCUCUCAGAUUAAGUAAAAGAUUGUUGUUCUGUGCUCCUUAAAUGUUGACAAAAUUUACCAAUAAAUCCCUGUGGAUUUUUUUGGUAGGUUAUGUUUAAUUAAAUGACCCAAUUUAAUUAAUAG
rnacentral:lncRNA from 1 species